rnacentral:misc_RNA from 1 species
GGAAUUUUGGCAAUGGUUGCUGUUUAUCUUGCCUACUCUUUGCUGCAAGCCCCUUCAACGGUACUUAUUAGACCACAUCCUGCGAUUUGGCGCCUGGUUCAUGGAAUGGCUGUGAUUUAUCUUGUUGCUUUGACAUUUCUACUUUUUCAGAGGCGCGAUGAUGCUCGCCAGUUUAUGACAUUUCUUCAUCCUGAUCUUGGCAUUGAACUUCCUGAAAAAUCUUAUGGUGCUGAUUGCAGACUCUAU